rnacentral:rRNA from 1 species
AUUGAACGCUGGCGGCAUGCCUAACACAUGCAAGUCGAGCGGAUGAAGGGAGCUUUCUCCUGGAUUCAGCGGCGGACGGGUGAGUAAUGCCUAGGAAUCUGCCUGAUAGUGAGGGAUAACGUCCGGACACGGGCGCUAAUCCCGCAUACGUCCUGAUGGAGAAAGUGGGGGAUCUUCGGACAUCACGCUAUCAGAUGAGCCUAGGUCGGAUUAGCUAGUUGGUGGGGUAACGGCGUACCAAGGCGACGAUCCGUAGCUGGUCUGAGAGGAUGAUCAGUCACACUGGAACUGAGACACGGUCCAGACUCCUACGGGAGGCAGCAGUGGGGAAUCUUCGACAAUGGGCGAAAGCCUGAUGCAGCCAUGCCGCGUGUGUGAAGAAGGUCUUCGGAUUGUAAAGCACUGUAAGUAGGGAGGAAGGGAAGUAAGAUAAUACAUUGCUGUUUUGACGUUACCAACAGAAUAAGCACCGGCUAACUUCGUG